rnacentral:misc_RNA from 1 species
UUUUUGCCUUACCUAAAGCUUACAAUGGUGAUCAAAUUGAAAAUACAAGGAGUUUUGAGACUUCAACAAAAAGAAUAAAAUUUAUUAGAGGACAAAAAUAAAGACGCCUACAAAAAGCAAGCAAACAAACGGGGGCCAUUGGAGAUUUUGCAUUUGCAUUUGCAAUCCCUCUGAUUACCUCCAAUACAUGUAGAAAGGGAGCUCUUUUAUACUGAUAAUUGGCAGAUAGGAUAUGAAAAUUUUCAGCCCCAUCUAAUAAUUGCAGAACCCCAGGUUAGGCCGGCUCCAAAACCUGCAGUUGCAAUAGUGUGGCCUGGCUUCACCUUCCCACUUCGAAUAGCUUCGUCCAAAGCCAAUGGAAUGGAAGCAGCACUUGUGUUACCAUAAUUUGCUAAAUUUGAUAUGAUCCUUUCUGGUGGGACUUCUAAGCGUGUUGCAACUGCAUCAAGGAUCCUCUG